AUGUGGAAACACUGGAGAAGACAGU
rnacentral:piRNA from 1 species